CACGUAGGGGGCAAGCGUUGUCCGGAUUUAUUGGGCGUAAAGAGCUCGUAGGUGGCUUAGUUAGUCGGGUGUGAAACCUCCAGGCUCAACCUGGAGACGCCACCCGAUACUGCUAUAGCUUGAGUCCGGUAGGGGAGCGUGGAAUUCCUGGUGUAGCGGUGAAAUGCGCAGAUAUCAGGAGGAACACCAGCGGCGAAGGCGGCGCUCUGGGCCGGUACUGACACUGAGGAGCGAAAGCGUGGGGAGCAAACAGG
rnacentral:rRNA from 1 species